rnacentral:rRNA from 1 species
AACGAACGCUGGCGGCAUGCUUAACACAUGCAAGUCGAACGAAACGGCCCGGCCUUGGGGCGCACGUCUGGGUACGGCGUGGGAACUAACCCUUAGGUAAGGUACAAUUGACUGUAAGGUAACUUCAGAACGCUUGAUCUCUUAGCAGCAAAGAUCUCCUGCUUCUGGAUGGGGGCGCGUUGGAUUCGCUAGUUGGUAGGGUAAUAGCCUACCAAGGCGUCGAUGCAUAGCUGGUCUGAGAGGAUGAUUAGGCCCAGUGGAGCUGAGACACGGGCCAGACUCCUACGGGAGGCAGCAGUGGGGAAUAUUGGACAAUGGGCGAAAGCCUGAUCCAGCAAUGCCGCGUGAGUGAUGAAGGCCUUAGGGUUGUAAAGCUCUUUUACCCGGGAUGAUAAUGACAGUACCGGGAGAAUAAGCACCGGCUAACUCCGUG